GGUUAAGCGACUAAGCGUACACGGUGGAUGCCCUGGCAGUCAGAGGCGAUGAAGGACGUGCUAAUCUGCGAUAAGCGUCGGUAAGGUGAUAUGAACCGUUAUAACCGGCGAUUUCCGAAUGGGGAAACCCAGUGUGAUUCGUCACACUAUCAUUAACUGAAUCCAUAGGUUAAUGAGGCGAACCGGGGGAACUGAAACAUCUAAGUACCCCGAGGAAAAGAAAUCAACCGAGAUUCCCCCAGUAGCGGCGAGCGAACGGGGAGCAGCCCAGAGCCUGAAUCAGUGUGUGUGUUAGUGGAAGCGUCUGGAAAGGCGCGCGAUACAGGGUGACAGCCCCGUACACAAAAAUGCACAUACUGUGAGCUCGAUGAGUAGGGCGGGACACGUGGUAUCCUGUCUGAAUAUGGGGGGACCAUCCUCCAAGGCUAAAUACUCCUGACUGACCGAUAGUGAACCAGUACCGUGAGGGAAAGGCGAAAAGAACCCCGGCGAGGGGAGUGAAAAAGAACCUGAAACCGUGUACGUACAAGCAGUGGGAGCCUCUUAAUGGGGUGACUGCGUACCUUUUGUAUAAUGGGUCAGCGACUUAUAUUCUGUAGCAAGGUUAACCGAAUAGGGGAGCCGAAGGGAAACCGAGUCUUAACUGGGCGUUAAGUUGCAGGGUAUAGACCCGAAACCCGGUGAUCUAGCCAUGGGCAGGUUGAAGGUUGGGUAACACUAACUGGAGGACCGAACCGACUAAUGUUGAAAAAUUAGCGGAUGACUUGUGGCUGGGGGUGAAAGGCCAAUCAAACCGGGAGAUAGCUGGUUCUCCCCGAAAGCUAUUUAGGUAGCGCCUCGUGAAUUCAUCUCCGGGGGUAGAGCACUGUUUCGGCAAGGGGGUCAUCCCGACUUACCAACCCGAUGCAAACUGCGAAUACCGGAGAAUGUUAUCACGGGAGACACACGGCGGGUGCUAACGUCCGUCGUGAAGAGGGAAACAACCCAGACCGCCAGCUAAGGUCCCAAAGUCAUGGUUAAGUGGGAAACGAUGUGGGAAGGCCCAGACAGCCAGGAUGUUGGCUUAGAAGCAGCCAUCAUUUAAAGAAAGCGUAAUAGCUCACUGGUCGAGUCGGCCUGCGCGGAAGAUGUAACGGGGCUAAACCAUGCACCGAAGCUGCGGCAGCGACGCUUAUGCGUUGUUGGGUAGGGGAGCGUUCUGUAAGCCUGCGAAGGUGUGCUGUGAGGCAUGCUGGAGGUAUCAGAAGUGCGAAUGCUGACAUAAGUAACGAUAAAGCGGGUGAAAAGCCCGCUCGCCGGAAGACCAAGGGUUCCUGUCCAACGUUAAUCGGGGCAGGGUGAGUCGACCCCUAAGGCGAGGCCGAAAGGCGUAGUCGAUGGGAAACAGGUUAAUAUUCCUGUACUUGGUGUUACUGCGAAGGGGGGACGGAGAAGGCUAUGUUGGCCGGGCGACGGUUGUCCCGGUUUAAGCGUGUAGGCUGGUUUUCCAGGCAAAUCCGGAAAAUCAAGGCUGAGGCGUGAUGACGAGGCACUACGGUGCUGAAGCAACAAAUGCCCUGCUUCCAGGAAAAGCCUCUAAGCAUCAGGUAACAUCAAAUCGUACCCCAAACCGACACAGGUGGUCAGGUAGAGAAUACCAAGGCGCUUGAGAGAACUCGGGUGAAGGAACUAGGCAAAAUGGUGCCGUAACUUCGGGAGAAGGCACGCUGAUAUGUAGGUGAAGUCCCUUGCGGAUGGAGCUGAAAUCAGUCGAAGAUACCAGCUGGCUGCAACUGUUUAUUAAAAACACAGCACUGUGCAAACACGAAAGUGGACGUAUACGGUGUGACGCCUGCCCGGUGCCGGAAGGUUAAUUGAUGGGGUUAGCGGUAACGCGAAGCUCUUGAUCGAAGCCCCGGUAAACGGCGGCCGUAACUAUAACGGUCCUAAGGUAGCGAAAUUCCUUGUCGGGUAAGUUCCGACCUGCACGAAUGGCGUAAUGAUGGCCAGGCUGUCUCCACCCGAGACUCAGUGAAAUUGAACUCGCUGUGAAGAUGCAGUGUACCCGCGGCAAGACGGAAAGACCCCGUGAACCUUUACUAUAGCUUGACACUGAACAUUGAGCCUUGAUGUGUAGGAUAGGUGGGAGGCUUUGAAGUGUGGACGCCAGUCUGCAUGGAGCCGACCUUGAAAUACCACCCUUUAAUGUUUGAUGUUCUAACGUUGGCCCCUAAUCGGGGUUGCGGACAGUGUCUGGUGGGUAGUUUGACUGGGGCGGUCUCCUCCUAAAGAGUAACGGAGGAGCACGAAGGUUGGCUAAUCCUGGUCGGACAUCAGGAGGUUAGUGCAAUGGCAUAAGCCAGCUUGACUGCGAGCGUGACGGCGCGAGCAGGUGCGAAAGCAGGUCAUAGUGAUCCGGUGGUUCUGAAUGGAAGGGCCAUCGCUCAACGGAUAAAAGGUACUCCGGGGAUAACAGGCUGAUACCGCCCAAGAGUUCAUAUCGACGGCGGUGUUUGGCACCUCGAUGUCGGCUCAUCACAUCCUGGGGCUGAAGUAGGUCCCAAGGGUAUGGCUGUUCGCCAUUUAAAGUGGUACGCGAGCUGGGUUUAGAACGUCGUGAGACAGUUCGGUCCCUAUCUGCCGUGGGCGCUGGAGAACUGAGGGGGGCUGCUCCUAGUACGAGAGGACCGGAGUGGACGCAUCACUGGUGUUCGGGUUGUCAUGCCAAUGGCACUGCCCGGUAGCUAAAUGCGGAAGAGAUAAGUGCUGAAAGCAUCUAAGCACGAAACUUGCCCCGAGAUGAGUUCUCCCUGACUCCCUGAGAGUCCUGAAGGAACGUUGAAGACGACGACGUUGAUAGGCCGGGUGUGUAAGCGCAGCGAUGCGUUGAGCUAACCGGUACUAAUGAACCGUGAGGCUUAACCUU
rnacentral:rRNA from 3 species